CACAAGGAGAACCAGAGGGAACCUGUACUUACAGUACGCUGUGUUCAGCCCAGAGGUGAGAGCCAUUCAAAGCAAACUAACUGUGCUAUUGUGCCCAAGUUGAUACCUGUGGAGAGAAAAGGAGAGAGAGGGAAUAACACGAGGAGGAAUAGAGCGAACCCUGUACUUACAGUACGCUGUGUCCAGCCCAGAGGUGAGAGCCAUUCAAAGCAAACUAACUGUGCUAUUGUGCCCAAGUUGAUACCUGUGGAGAGAAAAGGAGAGAGAGUGGGUAACACGAGGAGAGACCGAGGAAACCUGUACUUACGCCGCUGCCUGUGGAGAAAGAGAAAGCGACCGUUGCCUGUGGAGGAAGAGAAAGAGAGUGAGCACCCCGAGAACGAACUGUGUGAACCAGUACUUACCGUGAGCUGUAUUCAGCGAAGAGGAGGAAGAAGGAGGGCGCUACGGAUACGGCAAGGCACGAGGAACACAGACAAAUAUUUGACGACGAACUAACAACCAGACUGCAAACACAAUGAGAAUAAAUAGGGAGCUAAUGAGGAGGGUAACGAGGGA
ensembl:lncRNA